GACUCCACACUCAGCUGGCAGCGUGCAGAGCCCUGCCCCUGCCCCCGGCCUGCCCAGUGCAGCAUUCGGCUGGGGCACAGCGGGGGAGCCUGGUGCCCAGAGGACCCGCGCAGCCCCCAGUCCUAGCGGGGGCUGGGGAAGGAGCCCGAAGCUGGCACAGGCGGAGGAUGGCUGCCCAGGACUGGCAGUGAUCUGCUGCACGCUCAUGGACCCUGGGACGAGGCUGCUGGGUGAGUUCAGGACGUUCCCACCUCUCCCUCAUGUGGGUCCCGCUGUUGGCAGCUGUGGCUGGACACGGCUGGCCCCGCAGGCUGGAGAGCCCAGCCGAGCUAUGCAGGAGCAGGGGAACACCCUGAGGCGCACGGGUCUCUUCCUGUCACUGCAGACAGUCAGUAGUUGGUCUGGCGUGAGCAGGAAUUCUCAGAUCACCUCUUGGCUGUGAGUGGUGGUGCAGAGAAGACUGCACCUUUGCUGCAUGUCACCAAGGGAGGAGGAAAUGGAGGGGACAGAGAGGUCUCUCCCAUCGCUAACCUGUCUGCGGCUACAGGGGGCUCCAGCGUGGCCCAAUGCCCAAAGCUGGCUAGUGGCCAGCCAUGCAGAGGCCUCUUGGUGCCAGCCCUCCAGUGAACGCCACUUCAGUCACGGCUCGUUUCUAACAAACCCAAUGUGCUCAGCUCGCCCUCCGAUUGCCCAUGGGAAGCUGGGCCCCCAGGUGCCCUUCCCCCUCCAUGGCUUGUGGGUGUGGCCUAGCGUUAGCUUAUACUCCCUUUGGGCCAGGGAGCCGAGAGCUCUACACACCUAACAACAGUAUCUCCAGAGCAAACAUGGAGCCCCGAAGGGGACUGCCCAACGUAUCAAAGGGAGCCAGCCUGCCAGCUCUCACCGGGGCUGGGAAAGCAGGGCAGAUCCCCAGGCCUCCGCACACAGUCUGCAGCUACAGCCGGGGGAUAUGAUAGAAGUUUAGAAGAUCAGGAACGGUUUGGAGAAAGUGACUAGGGAAGAGUUAUCUACCCCUUCACAUAACAGAAGAUCCAGGGGUCACUGAUGACAUGACAGGCAGCAGGUUUAAACUAAACACAACACACAACAAACUUCUUCACACAACACAGUCACCCUGUGGAACUCAUUGCCAGGGAUGCUGUGAAGGCCAAAGUAAAACUGGGUUCAAAAACGAAUUAGAGAAGUUCAGGGUAGAUAGGUCCAGCGAUGGCUAUGAGCAAAGAUGCAACCCCACACUCUGGAUGUGCCUAAGCCUCUGAUUGCCAGAUGCUGGGACUGGACAAGAGGGGAUGGCUCACUGGAAGCACCGGGUGGCAGACAGGAUACUGUGCUAGAUGGACCUUUGUUCUGACCCAGCAGGGCCCUUCGUAUGUUCUGUGGCCCAGUGAAUCUCCCCACGUUUCUGCUGGGAAAUGCUCCGUUUGUGCAUCAGCUACAAGUCACUAAGGGAGAGCGAGCUCAAUGGCACUUCGGGCACCUAUAUUGAUGCCAACACCAGUGCCAUGGUGGCAGGAGAGCCCAGGAUGCAGGGAGAAUGUGACAAAGGCGGCUAAGCUGACAGGCUUCAAAUCCCCAGCCUGCUGCUGGAGGGCCGCUAGACACUCCGGUACCGCACCGCAGUCAGUCUGCUGGAGGGAAGAGUCGGACAAAGCACAGCAGCUGUGGUCAGUUCCGGACUGGGUCGUGACAUGCCCCCUUCCUAAAUGCCCAGCUCAUCUCAGCUGGGUACUGCCCGUUUUCUGCAGUUCGCAAAACCCCCAAACUACUGCACAACGAACAGCACAGGGCCUAAUAACAGUGACCCACCCUGGUGAAGCACUUUGAGAUCUAGAGUUUCAACUGCUGCCAAGGUGCUAAGUAUGUUAACAAUUGUUACAGGCAGCAGCGGACUAAGGGUUUUAUUUCCUUUAGGACAGGGCAAUAUCUACCUUUCUUCGUCCCAUCAGCUAAAGAUUCUCCCCGGGAAGCAAUGGACAAAGUUCCUAGAUGCUGCUCCCUCUGCCCGCCCCGGGGUCUGCUCUGCCCCCAGGCUGCUAGCCCAACGGGAAGAGACGUGGGGACCAGGAGAAUGGGGCGGGGGAAGAAAGUGGAAGUGGGGUAGGUGAAUGGCUCUAGUAGUUCCAGUUUUUUUGGAAGCCACCUGUUGAGCAAAUUCAGCCAUUGCCCACGGCCUUCAGUUGUGGGCUUGAACCGGCCUGACGUUUGGGCUGCCCAAGUUCCACCCCAAGACUGAAUGAGUUCUGCUGGGUAGGAAGUGGGCAGCAGCACUGUGCCAACGCCUAGCACAGAGUCAGAGUAGUAGACAGGGAAAGCCAAGCGCAGCAGACACAGCAGCCUGCUGCGUCGUUACCUUGGCCAUACUGAUCGCACUUGAGAGCAAAGGUCGCAGCGCUCUAAGGCUGCAGAGAGACAGCUGCAAGUCUUUUGGUGAAACAACACGGCCCGUGUAUGUGGGACGUCAGACUAGCUGCUCACAAUGCUCGAAGGCCUUCAGGCCUAUGCUGCUAUAAACAAGCGCUUGCAAUGAUGCCAGGAGGAACUUAGCUGUGUAGAUCUACUGGAGAGUCUGACAGCACACUCUGACUGCUGUCUCUAUCUCCUUUCCUGUCGUGCCUGAUUGACAAGAUGUGCUGGCUCUCCUCUCCGCACAGCACUUCCCACCCACCCACCCAUGGGAACCGGCCAAUGUAGAAUAUUAGUGAGCUCAUAGAAGGAAACAGGCUUGUGAGUGUGUGGAGGGAGCUGGAGCAGGUUUCCCUUUGCAGACAAACUCCUUUAUGGCUGAGAAAGAAAUAGACCGAAUGGAGUUUCAGUAAAAUCCAGAAUGGGUUUGCUUGGCCCACGCUCAGCGUUGUCAGGAUCACAACAGCUGCCUCUGUCCCCAGAGCAGAUACUAGCAGGUUCCCCAGAUCAGCAACUUCAACCCCUGUUCAGUCACAUUCAAGCACCCACCUUCCCCAAGUAGUUAAAGAGACACUGUCAAGUUACAGAUUUCACCCCCCAGCAUAUUGCCAUUAACCUAUGAGAGCCUGCUCCUGCAAGGUGCCAAAUGUCCCUAACUCCCAAUGACUUCAGGGCAGUUAUUUGGUCUGUAAAAAUGCUCAGCAUCCUUUUGGGUGCCACAAAUAAUAAAGUAUCAGAGGGGAGCCGUGUUAGUCUGGAUCUGUAAAAGCAGCAAAGAGUCCUGUGGCACCUUAUAGACUAACAGACGUAUUGGAGCAUGAGCUUUCGGGGGUGAAUACACUUCA